rnacentral:rRNA from 1 species
CCCUUAGAUGUUCUGGGCCGCACGCGCGCUACACUGACGAUGGCAACGAGUUUUUCCUUCGCCGAAAGGUGUGGGUAAUCUUUUGAAACAUCGUCGUGUUGGGGAUAGAUCAUUGCAAUUUUUGAUCUUGAACGAGGAAUUCCUAGUAAGCGCGAGUCAUCAGCUCGCGUUGAUUACGUCCCUGCCCUUUGUACACACCGCCCGUCGCUACUACCGAUUGAAUGGUUUAGUGAGGACUCCUGAUUGGCGCCGCCGCCCCGGCAACGGAGCAGCGGACUGCCGAAAAGUUAUUCAAACUUGAUCAUUUAGAGGAAGUAAAAGUCGUAACA